rnacentral:rRNA from 1 species
CAGUCGCCACGGGAAUACGUAGGGUGAAAGCGUUAAUCGGAAUUACUGGGCGUAAAGCGUGCGCAGGCGGUUUUGUAAGACAGAGGUGAAAUCCCCGGGCUCAACCUGGGAACUGCAUUUGUGACUGUAUAGCUAGAGUACGGCAGAGGGGGAUGGAAUUCCGCGUGUAGCAGUGAAAUGCGUAGAUAUGCGGAGGAACACCGAUGGCGAAGGCAAUCCCCUGGGCCUGUACUGACGCUCAUGCACGAAAGCGUGGGGAGCAAACAGGAUUAGAUACCCCAGUAGUCCCUGUCUCUUAUAC